CAGCGGCGAACGGGUGAGUAACACGUGGGUAAUCUGCCCUCGGCAUCGGGAUAGCCCGGGGAAACCCGGAUUAAUACCGAAUGGCCUCUCGCACUCUCGGGUGCGAUAGAAAAGGUGGCUUCGGCUUCUGGCCGAGGAUGAGCCCGCGGCCGAUUAGCUUGUUGGUGAGGUAAUGGCUCACCAAGGCUCCGAUCGGUAGCUGGUCUGAGAGGACGAUCAGCCACACUGGGACUGAGACACGGCCCAGACUCCUACGGGAGGCAGCAGUGGGGAAUCUUGCGCAAUGGGCGAAAGCCUGACGCAGCGACGCCGCGUGCGGGAAGAAGGCCUUCGGGUUGUAAACCGCUUUCAGGAGGGACGAAGCCACUCGGGUUAAUAGCCUAGAGGGUGACGGUACCUCCAGAAGAAGCCCCGGCUAACUACGUGCCAGCAGCCGCGGUAAUACGUAGGGGGCUAGCGUUGUCCGGAUUUAUUGGGCGUAAAGAGCGCGUAGGCGGCUAGGUAAGUCCGACGUGAAAUCUGGAGGCUCAACCUCCAGCGGUCGUUGGAAACUACUUGGCUAGAGUCCGGAAGAGGAGAGUGGAAUUCCUGGUGUAGCAGUGAAAUGCGCAGAUAUCAGGAAGAACACCGAUGGCGAAAGCAGCUCUCUGGGACGGUAC
rnacentral:rRNA from 1 species